rnacentral:sRNA from 1 species
CUUCCUCGACUUGUUGUGGGCAGAUGUAGUGGACGUGUGCGUCGAUGGCUCCGGCGGUGAUGAUGAGUUUUUCGCCGGCGAUGACUUCGGUUGAGGAGCCGAUGAUGAGUGCAGGGUGGACGUUCGCCAUGACGUCUGGGUUGCCGGCUUUGCCUAUUCCUGCUAUGAGUCCGUCUUUUACGCCGAUGUCUGCCUGGGUUUGGGGUUAGUUGGCGUGUGUGCAUUUGAAAAAGGUAAUACCUUGUAAAUGCCAGACCAGUCGAUGAUGAGUGCGUUGGUGAUGACUAGAUCCAGAGUUUCCGUGGAAGAGCGGUUGGUCGCUUGUCCCAUACCUUCUCGAAU